rnacentral:rRNA from 1 species
CCUACGGGCGGCUGCAGUAAGGAAUAUUGGUCAAUGGAGGAAACUCUGAACCAGCCAUCCCGCGUGAAGGAUGAAGGGGCUCUGCCUUGUAAACUUCUUUUGUCUGGGGCGAAAAAGCUCGAUUUAUCGAGAACUGACGGUACCAGAAGAAUAAGCACCGGCUAACUCCGUGCCAGCAGCCGCGGUAAUACGGAGGGUGCAGGCGUUACCCGGAAUCACGGGGUCGUAGGGGGCCUAGUACGUCUUAGGUGAAAUGCUGUGGCUUAACCAUGGAGUUGCCAUUGAUACUGCAGAGCUUGAAUGAGGUUGAGGUUGGCGGAAUGUGACAUGUAGCGGUGAAAUGCUUAGAUAUGUCAUGGAACACCGAUUGCGAAGGCAGCUGACUGGACCUAUAUUGACGCUGAGGCACGAAAGCGUGGGGAGCGAACAGGAUUAGAUACCCCGGUAGUC